rnacentral:rRNA from 1 species
GACGGACGCUGGCGGCGUGCUUAACACAUGCAAGUCGAACGGAAAGGCCCUGCUUUUGUGGGGUGCUCGAGUGGCGAACGGGUGAGUAACACGUGAGUAACCUGCCCUUGACUUUGGGAUAACUUCAGGAAACUGGGGCUAAUACCGGAUAGGAGCUCCUGCUGCAUGGUGGGGGUUGGAAAGUUUCGGCGGUUGGGGAUGGACUCGCGGCUUAUCAGCUUGUUGGUGGGGUAGUGGCUUACCAAGGCUUUGACGGGUAGCCGGCCUGAGAGGUGACCGGCCACAUUGGGACUGAGAUACGGCCCAGACUCCUAUGGGAGGCAGCAGUGGGGAAUAUUGCACAAUGGGCGGAAGCCUGAUGCAGCAACGCCGCGUGCGGGAUGACGGCCUUCGGGUUGUAAACCGCUUUCGCCUGUGACGAAGCGUGAGUGACGGUAAUGGGUAAAGAAGCACCGGCUAACUACGUG